rnacentral:rRNA from 1 species
GAUGAACGCUGGCGGCGUGCUUAACACAUGCAAGUCGAACGAAGCAUUUGCGACAGAUUUUUUCGGAAUGAAGUUGCUUAUGACUGAGUGGCGGACGGGUGAGUAACGCGUGGGUAACCUGCCUUGUACUGGGGGAUAGCAGCUGGAAACGGCUGGUAAUACCGCAUAAGCGCACAAUGUUGCAUGACAUGGUGUGAAAAACUCCGGUGGUAUAAGAUGGACCCGCGUCUGAUUAGCUAGUUGGUGAGAUAGCAGCCCACCAAGGCGACGAUCAGUAGCCGACCUGAGAGGGUGACCGGCCACAUUGGGACUGAGACACGGCCCAGACUCCUACGGGAGGCAGCAGUGGGGAAUAUUGCACAAUGGAGGAAACUCUGAUGCAGCGACGCCGCGUGAGUGAAGAAGUAAUUCGUUAUGUAAAGCUCUAUCAGCAGGGAAGAUAGUGACGGUACCUGACUAAGAAGCGCCGGCUAAAUACGUG